UAUUAUAACAUUUUUUACCCUUCCUAUUCCUUAUCAUUUCUUAUCCUCUCAUUACUUACAUUUCCCUCACCCCUCAAUCUAUCCAAACAGACCCUAAGUAAAUUCGCAAUCCUAGCUUAAGCUAUUGGCAGUAGUAAUCUCCAAUUCCAUAUCUCUUCUCAAGAAACACAACCCUUAAGCUACCGGUAGUAAUCUACAAUUCCACAUUUCUUUUUUGUUUCACUUAUGAAAAAUUGCUGCUAAUCCAAAGGAAACCCUAAUAAAAUUAAAAAUCAGUAAUAAGAACUACGUUGAUGGUUUUUAAAUCUUGAAUAGUUUUUAAAUUCAUUGCUUCAGUGUUACCUUGGACUGAGCUAUUUUAACCCUUAAAUAGUUAAACCUUAUCAAUUUUUAUUUAUU
rnacentral:misc_RNA from 1 species